UUAUUGGCAUGGUUAGGCCAGAUUUGACUGAGAAAAUGCCAAAUUUGGAAAUUGUGCGGCCUGAUGUACCUCAACAGAGUAAUUUGAGGGACUGUGGGGUGCAUGUCCUAAUAUGGCUCAGCAGAUGGGAACCCAAUCUUCCACUAGAAUACACCCAGGGAGAUGUGGCAGCUUUUCGGCGUGAUCUGAUGUGGUGGCUGGUGAACCAUGAUAACAAUGAAUGCCGUGAGGA